UUAUAAGGCUGUACCACCCUGAGUGCUCCUGAUCUCAUCUGAUCUCAGAAGCUAAGCAGGGUCGGGUCUGGUUAGUUUUUGGAUGGGAGAAUCAAAUAUAUUUUGAU
ensembl:rRNA 5S_rRNA 5S ribosomal RNA